CCAUUCAAGGCGCGCAGAGAGGCGAUCACGCCAGCCGCAGGUUGAUUUGACACCCUGUGUGUGUGUGGAUUCGCUCGUCUCCGCCUGGGGAGGGUGGAGUCUCCGGCCGAGCAGUUAGUCCUGACGAAGGGUCUCGGCCUGAAAUGUCGACAGCGCUUCUCUCUAUAGAUGCUGCCUGGCCUGCUGUGUUCCACCAGCAUUUUAUCUGGUCUCUGAUUGGAUUCCUUAUUGGUUAUUGGUGGAUAUUUGAGGACAACAUCAAUUCAAGCAUUGGUUGAUGUUAAGGACAUUAGCAAACAAUAGGGUGUUAAUACAACAUUUACAGAACUCUGUAGGUGGGAAACAAAUGUUUAAAGAGGCUUUUUCAGCACUGGACUAGACAAGUCAAGAACUGUUGAAUAAUUAAAACACAAAAAUACAACUGCAGAUGCUGUGGAUCAAAGAAUAUGUGCACAACGGGGGAAGAACUCAGCAGGUCAGGCAGCAUCCGUGAGAAAAGAGUAGCCAACGUUUCGGGCCGAGACCCUUCAUCAGGAAUGGGGGGGGAAGAGAGGGCCGAAGUCCAGUAAUAGAGAUAGGGGAGGGGGAAGGGCUAGAGGCACCAGGUGGAAAACCAA